GACGAACGCUGGCGGCGUGCUUAACACAUGCAAGUCGAACGAGGUCCACCGCGUAGCAAUACAAGGGAAGACCUAGUGGCGAACGGGUGCGUAACACGUGAGGAACUUGUCCCGGUCUCUGGGAUAACAGUUGGAAACGACUGCUAAUACCGGAUGACGUCGGAGCAUCGCAUGGUGCGCUGACGAAAGGGUUACUGGAUCGGGAGAGCCUCGCGGCCUAUCAGCUUGUUGGUGGGGUAACGGCCUACCAAGGCAUCGACGGGUAGCUGGUCUGAGAGGAUGAUCAGCCACACUGGGACUGAGACACGGCCCAGACUCCUACGGGAGGCAGCCAGUGGGGAAUCUUGCGCAAUGGGCGAAAGCCUGACGCAGCAACGCCGCGUGCGGGAAGAAGGCCCUCGGGUGUAAACCGCUUUCAGCAGGAACGAAAAUAGACGGUACUUGCAGAAGAAGGUGCGGCCAAC
rnacentral:rRNA from 1 species